rnacentral:rRNA from 1 species
CCUACGGGGGGCUGCAGUAGGGAAUCUUCCGCAAUGGACGAAAGUCUGACGGAGCAACGCCGCGUGAGUGAUGAAGGUCUUCGGAUCGUAAAACUCUGUUGUUAGGGAAGAACAAGUAUCGUUCGAAUAGGGCGGUACCUUGACGGUACCUAACCAGAAAGCCACGGCUAACUACGUGCCAGCAGCCGCGGUAAUACGUAGGUGGCAAGCGUUAUCCGGAAUUAUUGGGCGUAAAGCGCGCGCAGGCGGUUUCUUAAGUCUGAUGUGAAAGCCCACGGCUCAACCGUGGAGGGUCAUUGGAAACUGGGAAGCUUGAGUGCAGAAGAGGAGAGUGGAAUUCCAUGUGUAGCGGUGAAAUGCGUAGAGAUAUGGAGGAACACCAGUGGCGAAGGCGACUCUCUGGUCUGCAACUGACGCUGAGGCGCGAAAGCGUGGGGAGCGAACAGGAUUAGAUACCCGAGUAGUC